UUGUGAGGUUAAGCGACUAAGCGUACACGGUGGAUGCCCUGGCAGUCAGAGGCGAUGAAGGACGUGCUAAUCUGCGAUAAGCGUCGGUGAGGUGAUAUGAACCGUUAUAACCGGCGAUUUCCGAAUGGGGAAACCCAGUGUGUUUCGACACACUAUCAUUAACUGAAUCCAUAGGUUAAUGAGGCGAACCGGGGGAACUGAAACAUCUAAGUACCCCGAGGAAAAGAAAUCAACCGAGAUUCCCCCAGUAGCGGCGAGCGAACGGGGAGGAGCCCAGAGCCUGAAUCAGUGUGUGUGUUAGUGGAAGCGUCUGGAAAGGCGCGCGAUACAGGGUGACAGCCCCGUACACAAAAAUGCACAUAUUGUGAGCUCGAUGAGUAGGGCGGGACACGUGGUAUCCUGUCUGAAUAUGGGGGGACCAUCCUCCAAGGCUAAAUACUCCUGACUGACCGAUAGUGAACCAGUACCGUGAGGGAAAGGCGAAAAGAACCCCGGCGAGGGGAGUGAAAAAGAACCUGAAACCGUGUACGUACAAGCAGUGGGAGCCUCUUAAUGGGGUGACUGCGUACCUUUUGUAUAAUGGGUCAGCGACUUAUAUUCUGUAGCAAGGUUAACCGAAUAGGGGAGCCGAAGGGAAACCGAGUCUUAACUGGGCGUUAAGUUGCAGGGUAUAGACCCGAAACCCGGUGAUCUAGCCAUGGGCAGGUUGAAGGUUGGGUAACACUAACUGGAGGACCGAACCGACUAAUGUUGAAAAAUUAGCGGAUGACUUGUGGCUGGGGGUGAAAGGCCAAUCAAACCGGGAGAUAGCUGGUUCUCCCCGAAAGCUAUUUAGGU
rnacentral:rRNA from 1 species